ACAAAGCAUCCCGGGUGUUCGAGUUCCAAUUCUCUUCGUCAAAGAAGAGAAGAAGGCUCGUUCUGAGAUUAUACCGGUUGAACUUGAUCUAGAUAAUUCUAGCGCAAAGGAAGAUGCUUUUUUUGGGCU
rnacentral:ncRNA from 2 species